UACCCAACAACUCCUAUCCCUACCUCUUCGUAGUACUGGCCGGAGUACGAGUAGCCUUGGGGAAGAUCGGGUAACCAAACCUGGUGGGAACUUUGGUCGUAUGCUGACAGGGAAGG
rnacentral:ribozyme from 1 species